CCUACGGGUGGCAGCAGUGGGGAAUAUUGGACAAUGGGCGAAAGCCUGAUCCAGCCAUGCCGCGUGUGUGAAGAAGGCCUUCGGGUUGUAAAGCACUUUCAGUGGGGAAGAAAGCCUUGGGGCUAAUACCCUCGAGGAAGGACAUCACCCACAGAAGAAGCACCGGCUAACUCCGUGCCAGCAGCCGCGGUAAUACGGAGGGUGCGAGCGUUAAUCGGAAUUACUGGGCGUAAAGCGCGCGUAGGCGGUCUGAUAAGCCGGUUGUGAAAGCCCCGGGCUCAACCUGGGAACGGCAUCCGGAACUGUCAGGCUAGAGUGCAGGAGAGGAAGGUAGAAUUCCCGGUGUAGCGGUGAAAUGCGUAGAGAUCGGGAGGAAUACCAGUGGCGAAGGCGGCCUUCUGGACUGACACUGACGCUGAGGUGCGAAAGCGUGGGUAGCAAACAGGACUAGAUACCCGUGUCGUC
rnacentral:rRNA from 1 species